AAAGUAUUGGGAAAAACAGACGUAUUGAUGUGACACAGAGGUCAACAACAGCAAUACCUAUACAAGAGUGAUGCUCCUAUGCACAGAAUGUGUUGGUGUGUAGUGUUUGGUGAGGAUGUGUACUGCUGAAAUUCCAAAAUGAUAAAGAUAAGUGAGUCGUUCUGAAGGACUGAGAUACUGAAUAAGAUAAAAUGACAGUUACCAAAGUGAGAUGGAUGUAUCUGUGUUGGUUUCUGCAGGGGUUUGUGUGUUGCGUUAUACUGCGUCCAGUAAAUGUUCUUACUUUAAAUAAAGUUCUUCUUGUUGU